CUGGGGUGGCAGGAGCCCCACCCUACAUCCAUCUCGCUGGGCCAGCAGCAGCCCCCAACAGGCAGGUGGCUGGAUGAGAGUGAGGACGAGGCCCCGGGUGCGGGAGGGAGGCUCAAAGGCCCGAUCCACACCGCCUGGCAGUGGGACUUUGGGCAGCUUCCCUCCCUGCUCUGCCGGCUCCUGGUCUGCAGUAUGGAGACAGCAGAGACCCGCCCCCCCCUUGCCGUCCGGUCUGCCUUAGUGGUCCAGGACAGGGCCCAGCACUCAGAACUGUCAUCCCGGAGUUCCCUCUGGGGACAAGUCCAGCCUCCUCUCUGGCCCCCGUCAGAGUCCCUGACCCUUAGGUCCCGGAAUUAUUUUCAGAGAAAAGGCUGACACUCCACCUGGGAGCUGCGGUGGAGAAGCUAAGCUCCGCCUCUCGCAGCCACAGCGAUUCCAGGAGGAAGUUUCAAGGACCCCGCAGCCUGGAGGACGAUGCUUGGGAAAAUCCAGGCAGGCUGCUGGGACAAGGUGAUGCUUAGGUCACGUCAGCCCAUCCCCCGGCUGCAGGAGGCGCGACACCCCGCCCGCCCCGGAGCCAGAGAGCCUGAGACACACGCGCAUCCAUCCAUCCAUCCGCUGUCCAGACACCCGCGUGCGGUCCGGCCGGGUGCGCAGCGCCAGGUCUGAGGAGUCCAGCCUCUCCGAAGCACUGUGUGCGUGGGGGCCUGGCUGGUGGCCCGAGGGCCAGGGUGCAGCUGCCCCCGCACCAUGGUGUAGCCCAGAGGAUCGCUGGACAGGGACAGGGACAGGGCUGGGGAGGAAGGGCCUGGGCACUGCCGUACGCUGGUCCACAGCCCCCCAGGCUUGCUCAGACCCUCCGCAGUGAUGGUGACGGGGGUGGUGGGUCCCCCAGCCACCCUGGCCCAGCCCUGCCCACCUGGCACCUGUGUGAAGGUGGAGCCUGGCCUCCACCAACUUGGGUUGGGGGAACUGGGCCAUGCACGGGGGCCUGAAGGACAGAAGGGAGAGGUGGGGGGCGGGCUGGAACCCCCAAAGCUGGGCAGGGCUAAAAAGGAGUUGGUCCCUGGACUCCCAGAGUGCGAGUCUGGGAGACCUGACGACAGUCACUGCUCAGCUGGAGUUUCAGGCCAGCCCGGCGCUGCCCCCUACAGGCUGCCUGGGCUAAUGGCACCCAUGUAGUCACAGCCCGGGUGGGAGUCCCUGGGGCCAGGGGAGCACAGGGGGCCUGGGAUCCAGGGCCUGGAUGUGUGUGCCUGUCCUCACACGCACAGCCCCGCCCCAAGGACACACCCCACAGCCCCGAGGAGAGCCUCUGCUGGAGGUCGCCCCUUCUCUGGCCUCAUCCAGCCCUGGAGGAGAUGCUGCCCCCUGGGACCCCCCCAGUAGGACACAGGAACGGGCCCAGUGCACCCAGGGCAGCCGCAGGGCCCAGGGAGGGCUCUCUCGUUUGUAUGCCCGGGCACACAGGCACACAUGGGCACAGACACCACCAGUGGGUCCUUCCCAGAGGGUGGGGUGCCAGCCUCAGGAAGACCUGGACAGCUGCUGGGCCGGGCAGCAAGCCCCCUUCACCUGGGCUAUGAGGGGCCCAGGGGAGUUUGGGGUUCGGCCUCGGCUGGGGUAGCUGUGGUAGAGGCAGUGCUUGACUUCGGGGGGCUGUGGUGGAGGGGGGGGCACCUGCAGGAAGCAGGGGGCACGUGGAAGUGGGGCUCCGGCCAGCCUCCCUGCCUUUCCAUUCCCUCGGGGACUCUGGCAUGAGGCUGGCAGCCCACUGAAAGGGCCGACCCUCCAGGCUGGCUCCAGACGGACCCUCACAGAGGCGCAGAGGUGGGCGUCUCCAUGAGGGGCUGGGACCCCGUGGGAGGCCCGCUCAGGGAGGCCAAGGGGGCAGUGGGUGGGCCUCGGGCUGCCAGCCCCCGCCGUGGUGGGGGCUUCGUCUGCUCAGGCUGCCCGUAAGAAAAUGCCACCGGCCAGGGCCUGAAACAGCAGAUAGGUAUUUUCUCACUGCCCUGGAGGGUGGGAGUUUGAGACCAGGGUGGCGGCCAGUUUGCUGGGGGCGAGGGGCUGCUCCCUUGCUUGCAGAGGGCCGCCCUCCGGCCGGUCCUCAUGGGGGAGGCAGAGGCCUGGUCCUGCCUCUUUGCAGAAGGACGAGCCCUAAUCGCCGCCCAAGGGCCCCUGACUCUGGGGUUAGGGCUUCAGUGCAGGCAUUCUGGGGGCACACACCUUGGCUCCAGGUCCCCACCGCACACGCGGGGAGGGGCUAGGGGACCCGCAGCGUCCUGUGUCUGGGCAGCUCCACUUACCCCCGUCCCCAUCCUGGCAGGAGGCCCCUUGGCCCCUGGGGACAAUGUGCAGGAAAUGCAGGGGCACAGAGGCCCGGACCCGCGGCUGUGUGCCCGGCUCGGGUCAUGUUUACCCUCGGAAGGCCAGUGCCAGGGCCCCCACCCGGCCUCGCGGCCCCGAGUUAACUCCAGGAUAAACGGCCAUUCAGCCACACAAGGCCCCUUUGUCCAGGGGGAGGCUCCCGGCCCAGCAUGCUGCCCGGCGGCCCGUGUCCUCAGCGUGGCCCGCCGCCCCGCGUGGCCUUCUCUGGGCAGGGCCCUGGCCUGGCUCAGAGAGGCCCCCGCUGGGGACGAGGCCCUGCAGCUCUUGCAGUGGCCGGGGGGCCAGGCAGGCUGCGCUGGGGGAGGGGGUGCCCGAGGCUUCUCAGAGCAGCCCUGAUCCUGCAGGAGAACGUGUCCCUGCAGCCGUGUGGCCACCUCGGCCUCUGGGCCAGGCACUCCCGUGGGGGGCCGCACCUGUGACACAUGGCGAUUCCCAGUGGCUGAUUCAGAGCUGUAGCUGCCCGCC